rnacentral:rRNA from 1 species
UACGGAGGGUGCAAGCGUUAAUCGGAAUUACUGGGCGUAAAGCGCGCGUAGGCGGUUUCUUAAGUCGGAUGUGAAAGCCCCGGGCUCAACCUGGGAACUGCAUCCGAUACUGGAAGACUAGAAUGCGGGAGAGGGAGGUAGAAUUCCAUGUGUAGCAGUGAAAUGCGUAGAUAUAUGGAGGAAUACCAGUGGCGAAGGCGGCCUCCUGGCUCGACAUUGACGCUGAGGUGCGAAAGCGUGGGGAGCAAACGGG